GGCGCAUUCGUCUAGUGGCCCAGGACACAGCCCUCUCAAGGCUGAAACAGGGGUUCGACUCCCCUAUGCGCUACCA
rnacentral:tRNA from 2 species